UUAAAUGUCAAAAGUAAAAUAGGAAAUUUGGCCUUAAUGCAAACCUUGUCUGAGCCAUAAGAUUUUUUUUUUGUUUUAUCUUGAUUAUUUUGUUUUUGAGACAGGGUUUACUCACUCUUGUAGAUCAGGUUGGCCUCGAACGCAGAGAUCACCUAUUUUUGCCCUAGGGAGUUCUGGGAUUAAAGAUAUGUGCCACCAUGUCCAUCUGAUUCUUAAGUAUUUGGUGAAUAAUAAAUGAGUAAAUUUUAAGGCUACCAGUGCAAAACUGUAGGACAAUUAGAUGAUAUAGAGAUGAAAUAAUACACACUUUAAUAGAUGAGAAAAAAAUGGUACGUAAUUUUCUUAAAUAUGGCCCUUUAUUCUAAAUAAAUAAAUGAAUAAGUAUUUUGUCCUUAGCUCUAAAUAAAUAUUUUGUAUUUUCAUUGCCCCAUUCAAACACUGUACCUUCCUAGACAAAUAGCACCAAUUUUAUCUUCAUAUGUCUAACUAGACUUUAUUUACUUAAAUUGACAAAGCAAAGCUUGACUGAUAACUGAAUUAGGUACAAUUGAAAAACUAGAUUAUUGUAACCAGAUAAAUUCUUUUGAUUCAGGCUUUCAAGAGCAUGCAUACUUAACACAUGUAAUAUAAAUUAUUUUUUACUUAUUUAGAAAAAUUGAGAAAAAUUUAGCUAUUAAUUCUUAAAUAUUGGAUUGAAUCAGAUAAGUCUCUUAUUUUAAAAACUGUCAGAAAGAUUCUUUUUUUUUCUUUUUUAGAACUUUUGAGACUUCUAAAAUUUCCUGUCUGAAACUUUAGAAUUUGACAAAUAGUUACCUUAGUGUUAAUUUAAAAAAUACAAGAAUUUUAUUUAAAUAAGAAGAUGCUUGACUUUAAGGGAAAACUCUGUAGUAUUCACAGCAGUUAUUUCUGUACAGUAAAGAAGUGGGGCGGAGAAGCGAAAGAACAAAGACAUCUGUACUGUAAUAGGCUGGAUGUGUUGGAACCAAAUUUCUGCUUUCUAAUUGAGAAUCUAGUCUUGGUCUGUAACACAACUCGUGAGUAAAGUAGCGGGCCUCUGUUUGUAGUCAUCUUCUGUCUGCUGCUAGAAUACACCAAUUAUAGCUUUUCUCUCCACUGCCACCUAUGCAGAUGUGUCCCAUCAAUUCACAAGUUGUUGAACAUCAAACCCUGCCAUUUGCAAUUGGCUCUCAUUGGCUUACUAAGAGGUGUUUACUUCUUAAACUCCACCAUUUGCUGCCACUUUCAAAUUAAUAUGAUCCUGUUCUCAGCCUGGACUGCUUCAUUGGGUUGGGUUUCUCGUUGGCCAUAGUAAGUGCUGUCAUUCCACAAAAGAGGCACCAGGUCCAUACUGAAGGAGCUUACAGACAGCACCAGAAGCAGCAGUGUAGUAUGUCUGUGAAAGCUAAAGGAAAAAGGAAGUGUUCCCCUUGCUCUUCACCCCCGCCCUGUUGUUUGAGACAGUUUCCUGUAGCCCAGGCUGGUCUUGGAUUGAGUGCAGUGAAGGAUGACCUUGAUCUCCUGCCUCUGCCGGCCACCUACUGCACCCAGGCUCCGUUGUUUCUUUCAAAAAUUUCCAAGUAUCGCUUUAAGCUUCUAUGUCAAAAUUCUUGUUUUGUUAUAAAUCAGUCACAAAGAUUAUCUUUUUAAAAGACCUUUUUUUUUAAAGAUGUAUUUAUUUAUUAUAUGUAAGUACACUGUAGCUAUCUUCAGACACCCCAGAGGAGGGCAUCAGAUCUCAUUACAGUUGGUUGUGAGCUACCAUGUGGUUGCUGGGAUUUGAACUCAGAACCUUCAGAACGGCAGUCAGUGCUCUUAACCGCUGAGCCAUCUCUCCAGGCCUAAAAGACCUUUUUAAUAUUUAUAGAUAGUAUUUAAAAGAUUUCUCAAGUGCUAUGGUUUUUGCCUUCAUUUUCCUCAUUUGAGAUAAAAUGACUUCUAUAACAUUUAAAUAUUUUGAUAAUAUUGUCAUACUAGAACAUAUUAGAACAAACACUAUAUAUCUUACUAUCAGAAUUAUGUUUAUUUAUAUUUAUUGUUUUGGGGCGUGGUCUUAGUCUGUAGCUCAUUCUGUCCUCAAACUCAUGACUAUUGCUUUAGCAUCCUGAGUAUUAGGAUUACAGACAUGAGCUCCUUGUGUCCAAUGUCAUUUUAGACAGUGUGAAUUACCUCAGUGCAUUUAAAAAACGCACAUAAUUCUCUAAAACCAAUUUGUUCGUAAGAUAACUUUGCCACCAAUUUUUAUGCAAAUGCACAUACACAAUGUCAAAGCAUAACUAAAGUUACUUUCAAUUAGAAAUUAUUUUUCUUGUAGAACUCAUACAAGAGGCAAGCAAAUCCUCAUUUCCCUGAAAACUGACUUAAUAUGAAGUCCCCAUUUGCAAGUCCCCAGUCAAAGCUUAGAAUACUUUCUAAGAAAU
rnacentral:lncRNA from 1 species